UGAAUCGCUAACUGCACGCUCUACAAUGAUAGUUCUCCUGAUUUUAGUCUGUUCCACGUUAAACCCUAUUCAUGCGGCAACUACGACAAAGCCAACUAAAGUGCGAGCGGCAACUACCACGAAGCCAACCAAAGUGCAAGUGCCGCAAAAUUGCACUGAGGGCGAUUGCAAACUCCAUGAUUCAAGACUCAGGACUUUCCUUAGCUCUGCUCUAUCCGAGGAAUUUGUAUCAGUUUUGGCAGACACUCCUUUUUCGGCAUUUUUAUCAGCUAAUGCGGACUUGGGGGAUGUAUUUUACAAGUGCGGACGCCUCUUUUACUCUAGCCACAAUCAAGCUCAAUAUGGAGCAGCCGCAAUAGUUUGUGCCAAGAGGAAAAUGCAAUUGGUUACGGUGGAAGAAGGAGCAAAUAACUUGGAUUGUCUUGUCCCCAAUUUGGACAAUAUGACGGCAGAGGAGCAAAAGGAUCUGAAAUACUAUUUCGUCUGGACGAGCGGAAUGGCCGAGGGGAGCAACUGCGGAAACGCGGCGUACUCGUGGUGCGCAGGAAACAGGACCAUCAUCGACGCGAAUGCGUUCGACCUGCCUCUGGAGAUUGCAAAAAAGGAAAGGUGUCUUGCUCUUUCCACGAUGACCAAGACACUCGUUCGUAUGAGCUGCACCACUCCUAAUUACUUCUUUUGUGAAUACAAGUGUAAAACUGUUUCAUGCAUGAGCAACCAGAUGUGCGAAACUAGUAAAAAUAACUCUCUCUUUGAAAGCGGGACUGGAAAAAUAAAACGACGGUCUGUGAGUGGUGUUUGGGCAGAGUGGAAACAGACGAUUGGCUAUAACAAAUAUUCAUACACAAGCUAUAUAUUUGGUUACAAAAAAGUGACUUGGACGGAAAACUUAAAGAUUUGUUGCAGCUUGGGAAUGAAGCCGAUCAAAGUCACGGAUGAGCUGCUUUACGCGCUUAACAACGUGGGAAACGAGAGCACUAAAAUCAGUAUCUUUACCACUCCUGUGCGUAAUAGCGACCCAAACAUAACUGAGGAAAGAAAUUUGAUAAAAACUGCUUUCUGGACGGCGGCCACGCGGCAAGGGUGCGCAGGCCAGUACCGCUACUGCUUGUACGACGACAUAGGUCCGUGGGACUCGCAGGACAAGUUUUGGGACACGGUAAACCCGCGCGACGAUGGAUCGUGUCUCGCCAUCGACAGGGAGUACACAAAGACUAGGACGCCGUUUGGGGUGCGGCAGAUGCAAUGCUUGUCUGGCGGCACCAAUUUUGCUUGUCAGAAAGAGGGAAAGAGAGUCGAUGAUUUUGUAAAUGGAGACCAAGGAAAUGAUAUUGAGAAGGUCAAUAAAGCUUGCGACUAUCCCAUCUGCUCAGACCUAAAAUACUGUUCACUCAAUCAAUUUUACACUGGACAAUAUAAAAACAAAGACCGACUUCUUUUUAAACCACACCUUUUGGGGGAAUGGAAAACAGCUUGCGGAGUUCGAUAUUUAUUCCACAAUCUAAAUAUGACUUGGUCUCUUGCUCUUGACUUUUGCUGUUCCCUGGGAAUGAAUCUCAUAUCUGUGCAGUCAUACGAAAAAUUAAUCUGCCUAGAUAGUAUUUUAGGGGAAGAAAAGUACGGAUACUGGACUUCUGGAACGAACAUGAACUGUUCAAAUCAGCGAUAUCGUUGGUGCUCACCUGAAUUUAGAGACUACAUCAAACCAAGUUUAAAUCUCGACAACAAAACAUUGAACUUCCAGCAGUCUGAUCCGAUUACUCCUGAAACGAGUUCAAAAUUAUGCGUGGUGUUGCAAAAAUCACCGACUUUGGGGUCAAUUUUGACUGUUGACAGUUGUGAAAAGUCAAUGCGGAAACCUAUUUGCGAAGGUCGAUUGAAGGCGCAGUCACAUCUGCAAGAGGUUUUCAAUGAGUGCAAAGCGACACAUCGCGUCACGCAACGGGAAAUUGAAAAAUUCAACAACACAGACAUAGAACGUUCUUCAUUCAAAAUGAAGUGUUUUUCGAGUUGUAUCGCGGAACUUCUUGGAUUGGUGUAUGAUAAUGGAGCGUUUUGGGAAGAUGAAGUUGAGAAAGCGAUUAAAAAAGUAAAAGAUCCAAGAGCGCUUGAAGAUUUCCGUUCUCUCAUGAAAAAAUACCCUACAAGCUUAUUUAAGAAAGCAUCCGAUAAUUUGAACGCCCUUAGGAUGAUGCUCGUAGAGCAGAGCAAAGAAGAAGCUUGGAAAUCUACUUUGUUCGUUAACAUGGCGCUUGAAAAGUUUUCGGAAUGCAAUACGAUCGUUCAAUCAAAUAAGGAUGUUGAAUGCUCUUAUGUAUAUAAUUUCCUCAAAUGUUUUACGAACGGUUCCACAUCAUUGGAAAAAUUCUGGAACAGAGAUUUACACCAAUUAUUUGAUUCAAGAGAAUACGCCUUGACAAUUUCAAAAGGACUUUUUGAAAUCUCGACGAUGGAAUCUUUUUCGAAUAGCGCAUAUAACUUGCUUGAUGUAACAAAAAAUGACGACUACCAGAGACUCCAGCAAUAUAUUGAAUAUGUUGAUUCCCAAUCAUUCUCAGUGGAGUUCACUAGCUCAAAUUGCACCUUUAAGCUAUUGAGACCAAAAAAUUUGACUUUAAAUGACGCUUGUUUAACAAAAGAAAAAUAUUUUGAGCCCAUUACAGGAUACGAUGACAUCUUGAAGAGUAAAAUAUUGGAAGAAUCACAGAGCUCAUACUCUCAAAUGGCUGCUGCUGCAAUUUGUCAUGAAGCGAAUGGAAGUCUGAUUACGUCUGCUGACUUCAGUAAUGCAUCAAUCCUCAUAAACAUCACGAAUACCGCAAACAAUUAUAAUUCAAUGAAAAAACGAAAGGACCUGUUUCUUUCAACAGUCUAUAACAAGAUAUUGAUGGAUGAAAUUUAUAAAGACUCUAAAGGAGUGAUUCGUUGGUGCAGUACCUCCGCUGAGGCACCAAAAGAUGAGUAUAAUUUUUUAAAUUCCACCCAAGCCUUGGUUUCCAUGUACGAUGUAACGAGAUUUAAUUAUUCGGCAAGUCCUGUAAGCUUGUCCUCCUCAGUCCUUACAUUUUUCUGCAAGUUUGAAAAAUCCUUCUUGGCACUAUGCAAAACGAAUGCAUCAAAUUGAAGUUCAAGUACUCGAAAUUUGCAUUAAAUUUAAAUGUUAAACAGUUCAUUUAUUUUUAAUUUUUGACAAACUGCUUUUUAACAUUUUUUUAUAGUGAGAUUAAACAAGCUAUAAUAAUAAUAAUAAUAAUAAAGUCAAUUCAAAUUUUACCUUGUUUGUGAGUAAAUAAUAUAUGGCCAAGGGCAUAAAAAUUGGUUUUGAGUUCCGUAAGCUGCGCUGCAGAAUAAGGGAAGAGUGGUUGUCACGGAGUACGGGUUUUUCCUCUUGCAACUGAAAAUAAUUGUACAUUUUUUUUAAAUUCACUUAAAAUGGCUCUUCACUUGAAACAAUGUAAAAUUUAUCCCACAUACAUUUUAACAAAAAGUUACAUGCACUGUAUAUUAAGUUGAAAUCAAUGUUCAGUUUAUGAUUUUGUUAAGAUGCACCAUCAAGAUUUUUA